CAGGGGCCGGCGCCCCGCUCCGCUCCCCCCAGGCCUCAACCCCGCUGGCUACCCGCGCUGAAACCUCACCUGCCGCCGGCUGCAAACGGACUGCGCUCCAGGUCCCAGUGUCUUCUUUGUCCAGUGGAGUUAACAGCGUGGAUCUCAUGGGAUUGUGACCACGUGAAGUUCUGCUCAAGAAGAGAUUCUGACAUAUUGUUGGACCAAACACCAAGGUUAUGUCACUUUUGUGCCUUGGCCCUGACCUCAGAAGGCAUUGCGACAUACUGUUGGGUUAAUCACCAAGGUGAUGUGGGACUUCUGCCUGGACCCUGCCCACACUGGGCAUUGUGACAUUUAGGGCCCAUCAACUAUCUGGCAUGGCCCUCCUCUCUUAUCUGACCGUUGCCUAUAGGAGAGAUUGUAACACAUCUCUGGAUUUAGAAUGUAGAUGAUGUGACUCUUCUCUCCUGACUGGGCCAUGGCCAGAGAAGGGAGAGUGACUUACCACUGGAUCCAGCACACAGGUUAUAUGAUUCUUCUUUGUGAUCUCUGCACAAAGGGGUCAUUGUGAGAUAUCUCAGGGUUUAUCACCUAGAUGAUGUGAUGCUCCUUUUCUUCCUGGAACCUGUCUACAGUGGGCAUUGUGACAUAUCACUUGGCCCAGCACCUACAUGUUGUGACUCUGAUCUCAUGCCUGGGCCCUGCCCACUGGGGUGAUUGUGACAUAUAAGCUGGGCACAGCCAUGAGGUUAUAUGACACUCCUCUUUUUUUGAGUUCUACUCACAGGGGGCAUUGUGACAUACCUCUGGGCUCCUUACCUAGGUGAUGUGACUCUUUCCAGGGUCCUCCUGUCAGUGGGUAUUGUGCCCAAGAUGUAAUUGUGAUGCAUCACUGGUCCUAGCACCUAACUGAUGUGACUCUCCUCUCCUUCCAAAGCCCUGCAUUUAUUGUUUAUUGUGACAUAUUUUCAAAACCUAGGUUAGGCAACUCUUUUGCAUGCGUCCUGCUAAUAGGGCUAUUAUGACAUAUUUUUUUUUCACCUAGGUGAUGUGACUCUCCCUUUCUGCCUAAACACUGUAAAAAGGGGAGAUCGUGACAUAUCACUGGACCCAGCAUCUAGGUGAUAUGGCUCUCCUUUUUCACCUUGGCUUCUUGUAUUUUGGGUAUUAUGACAUAUCACUGGGUCAAACCAAAGGAGGGGGAGGCUCUUGCCUAGGCCCUGCCCACAGGAGACCUUGAGACAGAUCUCUGCAUCCAUCACUUUGGAAGUGUGACUCUCCUCUUCUGGCUGCUCCAUGCCCGCACAGAAGACUGUGAUAUAUCUCCGGGUUCACCAACCAGGUGGUGUGUCUCCCAUACCUGGGCUUUUCUUGCAGAGAUAAUUGUGACAAAUCGUUGUGCACAGCACCCAAGUCACGUGACUCUCCUCUCAUAUCAAGGCUCUGCCAACUAGGGUAAUUGUGACAUACAGCUGGGCCUAGCCCCUAGGUUCUAUGACUCUUUUGAUGAUUCUGAGCCCUAUCUACAGAGGUCAUUGGGAAAUAUCUCUUGGCCCAUCUACUAGGUAAUGGAACUCACCUGCCUGGGCUCUUUUUUUAGGAGGUAUUGUGACAUAGGGCUGGAUCCAGACCUAGGUAAUGUGACUCUCCUCUACUGCUUGGGCUUUACUCAAGGAGGAAUUGUGAUGGGUCACUGAACCCAGCACCUGGGUUAUGUGUUAUGUGACUUUCCUCUUCUGCCUGGGCCCUGCAUCAAUUGUGUUUUUUUUUUUUUUUUUUUUGAGAUAGUCUCAUUCUGUUGCCCAGGCUGGAGUGCUGUGGUGCCAUCUCAGCUCACUGUAGCCUCCACUGCCCAGGUUCAAGUGAUUCUCCUGACUCAGCCUCCCGAGUAGCUAGGAUUACAGGCGUGAGCCACCACACCCAACUAAUUUUUGUAUUUUUAGUAGAAACGGGGUUUUACCAUGUUGGCCAGGCUGGUCUCAAACUCCUGACCUCGAGUGAUCCACUUACCCCAGCCUCCCAAAGUGCUGGGAUUACAGGCAUGAGCCACUGCACCUGGCCCCCUGCAUAAAUUAUACAUUGUGACUUCACUGGGUACUAACACCUAGUUGUUCUGACUCCUCAGCAUGGGCCCCGCCUACGGGUGUAUUAUGACAUAUCUUUUUGUUCCUCACCUAGGUGACGUGACUCUUUUUUGUGUCUUGACCCUGCCUAAAGGGGUGAUUGUGACAUAUCGCCGAACUCAGCACCUAAGUGAUGUGACUCUCCUGUUUUGCCUGGGCCCUGCACAUAUUUGGCACUGUGACAAAUCUCUGGAACAAAUACCCAGGGCAUGAGAGGCUCCUGCCUGGGACCUGCCCAAAAGGGGCCUUUUGGCAUAUCUCUGCAUCAAUUAACUAGCAGAUAUAACUCUUCUUUUCUGCCUAGGUUCUGCCAAAACAAGUGAUUGCAACAUAUAAUUGGACCAGCAACUAGAUGAUGUGACUCUUCUCUUCUGCCUGAGCCCUGGAUAUACUGUGUAUUAUGACACAUGGCUGAGUCCAACAUCAAGGUGAUGUGACUGACCACUUCUGCCUGGGCCAUGCCGAAAAAAGGAGAUUGUGACAUAUCACUGCAUUCAAUACCUAGAUGAUGGUUUCGCCGUGUUGGCCGGACUGGUCUGCAGCUCCUGACCACGAGUGAUCUGCUAGCCUCGGCCUCCCGAGGUGCCGGGAUUGCAGACGGAGUCUCGCUCACUUAGUGCUCAAUGUUGCCCAGGCUGGAGUGCAGUGGCGUGAUCUCGGCUCGCUACAACCUCCACCUCCCAGCCGCCUGCCUUGGCCUCCCAAAGUGCCGAGAUUGCAGCUUCUGCCUGGCCGCCAUCCCGUCUGGGAAGUGAGGAGCAUCUCUGCCUGGCCGCCCAUCAUCUGGGAUGUGAGGAGCCCCUCUGCCCGGCCACCCAGUCUGGAAAGUUAGGAGUGCCUCUUCCCGGCUGCCAUCCCAUCUGGGAAGUGAGGAGCGUCUCUGCCCGGCCGCCCAUCGUCUGAGAUGUGGGGAGCACCUCUGCCCCGCCGCCCCAUCUGGGAUGUGAGGAGCACCUCUGCCCUGCCACCCGUCUGAGAAGUGAAGAGCCCCUCCGCCCGGCAGCCGCCCCAUCUGGGAAGUGAGGAGCCCCUCCGGCCGGCCGCCACCCCGUCUGGGAGGUGUACCCAACAGCUCAUUGAGAACAGGCCAUGAUGAUGAUGGCGGUUUUGUCGAAUAGAAAAAGGGAGAAAUGUGGGGAAAAGAAAGAGAAAUCAGAUUGUUACGGUGUCUGUGUAGAAAGAAGUAGACAUAGGAGACUCCAUUUUGUUCUGUACUAAGAAAAAUUCUUCUGCCUUGGGAUGCUGUUGAUCUAUGACCUUACCCCCAACCCCGUGCUCUCUGAAACAUGUGCUGUGUCCACUCAGGGUUAAAUGGAUUAAGGGCGGUGCAAGAUGUGCUUUGUUAAACAGAUGCUUGAAGGCAGCAUGCUCCUUGAGAGUCAUCACCACUCCCUAAUCUUAAGUACCCAGGGACACAAACACUGCGGAAGGCCGCAGGGUCCUCUGCCUAGGAAAACCAGAGACCUUUGUUCACUUGUUUAUCUGCUGACCUUCCCUCCACUAUUGUCCUAUGACCCUGCCAAAUCCCCCUCUGCGAGAAACACCCAAGAAUGAUCAAUAAAAA
rnacentral:lncRNA from 1 species